GGGAAUCAGUUAGCUUCCCUUUACCACCAAUUCCUUUUGUUUCUUUCUUCAGUUUCCGUAGAGCCGUCCCAACUCGCUUCUGGACAUGACCGACACAUUCCUUCUUUUCCACAUGUAUAUUUUCAUAAGCAUUUUCCACUUCAUUGUAUGCUUUGCUGUCACCAUCUCCAAAGUACUCGGUAUAUUGCAGCUUACGUGUCUCCUCGCUCCUUCCAAAUAUCCUCUUGAUCCCUUCUGUUUCCAUAGAUGGCGCUGAUCCUUGAUAGCUUGCCUUGCACUGAUGUCUAUCCUGCAUAUCAGCUUUCUUUAAAGCAUCUGUUUGUUUGUCAAUCCUUUGACACUCACGGCAAACUUUUGUCAUUAUUUCAACGUCUAAACAUUUACCGGUGUC